rnacentral:rRNA from 1 species
CAGGAUGAACGCUAGCGGCAGGCUUAACACAUGCAAGUCGAGGGGCAGCGGGGAGGAAGCUUGCUUUCUCCGCCGGCGACCGGCGCACGGGUGAGUAACACGUAUGCAACCUGCCCCUGUCAGGGGGACAACCCGCCGAAAGGCGGGCUAAACCCGCGUACAUGCCACCGGGGCAUCCCGGAGGCAGGAAAGGCUUCGGCCGGACAGGGAUGGGCAUGCGGCGCAUUAGGCAGUAGGCGGGGUAACGGCCCACCUAACCGACGAUGCGUAGGGGUUCUGAGAGGAAGGUCCCCCACACUGGUACUGAGACACGGACCAGACUCCUACGGGAGGCAGCAGUGAGGAAUAUUGGUCAAUGGUCGGGAGACUGAACCAGCCAAGCCGCGUGAGGGAGGAAGGUACAGAGUAUCGUAAACCUCUUUUGUCAGGGAACAAAGGCGGGGACGUGUCCCCGGAUGAGUGUACCUGAAGAAAAAGCAUCGGCUAACUCCGUGCCAGCAGCCGCGGUAAUACGGAGGAUGCGAGCGUUAUCCGGAUUUAUUGGGUUUAAAGGGUGCGCAGGCGGUCUGUUAAGUCAGCGGUCAAAGCCCGGGGCUCAACCCCGGCCCGCCGUUGAAACUGGCAGUCUCGAGUUGGAGAGAAGUAUGCGGAAUGCGCGGUGUAGCGGUGAAAUGCAUAGAUAUCGCGCAGAACUCCGAUUGCGAAGGCAGCAUGCCGGCUCCACACUGACGCUGAGGCACGAAAGCGUGGGUAUCGAACAGGAUUAGAUACCCUGGUAGUCCACGCAGUAAACGAUGAAUGCUGGCUGUCCGGGGGGACUGACCCCUGGGUGGCGAAGCGAAAGCGUUAAGCAUUCCACCUGGGGAGUACGCCGGCAACGGUGAAACUCAAAGGAAUUGACGGGGGCCCGCACAAGCGGAGGAACAUGUGGUUUAAUUCGAUGAUACGCGAGGAACCUUACCCGGGCUCAAACGGGGAGUGGCGCAGGCAGAGACGCCUGUUUCCCACGGGACACUCCCCGAGGUGCUGCAUGGUUGUCGUCAGCUCGUGCCGUGAGGUGUCGGCUUAAGUGCCAUAACGAGCGCAACCCCCGCGUGCAGUUGCUAACAGUCAACGCUGAGGACUCUGCACGGACUGCCGGCGCAAGCCGCGAGGAAGGCGGGGAUGACGUCAAAUCAGCACGGGCCUUACGUCCGGGGCGACACACGUGUUACAAUGGGUGGUACAGCGGGAAGCCAGGCGGCGACGCCGAGCGGAACCCGAAAUCCACUCUCAGUUCGGAUCGGAGUCUGCAACCCGACUCCGUGAAGCUGGAUUCGCUAGUAAUCGCGCAUCAGCCAUGGCGCGGUGAAUACGUUCCCGGGCCUUGCACUCACCGCCCGUCAAG